rnacentral:rRNA from 1 species
AACGAACGCUGGCGGCAUGCCUAACACAUGCAAGUCGAACGAGACCUUCGGGUCUCGUGGCGCACUGGUGCGUAACGCGUGGGAACAUGCCCUUAGGUUCGGAAUAUCUCCCCGACAGGGGUGCUAAUACCGGAUAAUGUCUUCGGACCAAAGCUUUAUCGCCUUUGGAUGGGCUCGCGUUGGAUUAGCUAGUUGGUAGGGUAAAAGCCUACCAAGGCGACGAUCCAUAGCUGGUCUGAGAGGAUGAUCAGCCACACUGGGACUGAGACACGGCCCAGACUCCUACGGGAGGCAGCAGUGGGGAAUAUUGGACAAUGGGCGAAAGCCUGAGCCAGCAAGGCCGCGUGAGUGAUGAAGGCCUUAGGGUUGUAAAGCUCUUUUACCCGGGAUGAUAAUGACAGUACCGGGAGAAUAAGCUCCGGCUAACUCCGUG